rnacentral:rRNA from 1 species
UGAGGAAUAUUGGUCAAUGGGCGUAAGCCUGAACCAGCCAAGUCGCGUGAGGGAUGAAGGUUCUAUGGAUCGUAAACCUCUUUUAUAAGGGAAUAAAGUGCGGGACGUGUCCUGUUUUGUAUGUACCUUAUGAAUAAGGAUCGGCUAACUCCGUGCCAGCAGCCGCGGUAAUACGGAGGAUCCGAGCGUUAUCCGGAUUUAUUGGGUUUAAAGGGUGCGUAGGCGGCCUUUUAAGUCAGCGGUGAAAGUCUGUGGCUCAACCAUAGAAUUGCCGUUGAAACUGGGGGGCUUGAGUAUGUUUGAGGCAGGCGGAAUGCGUGGUGUAGCGGUGAAAUGCUUAGAUAUCACGCAGAACCCCGAUUGCGAAGGCAGCCUGCCAAGCCAUGACUGACGCUGAUGCACGAAAGCGUGGGGAUCAAACA